rnacentral:rRNA from 1 species
ACGGAGGGUGCGAGCGUUGUCCGGAAUCACUGGGCGUAAAGGGCGCGUAGGCGGCGCGGAAAGUCGUCGGUGAAAGCUCAGGGCUCAACUCUGAGUCGGCCGGUGAUACUCCCGCGCUCGAGCUCACUAGAGGCAGAUGGAAUUCCGGGUGUAGCGGUGGAAUGCGUAGAGAUCCGGAAGAACACCGGUGGCGAAGGCGGCUUCCUGGACCGACACUGACGCUGAGGCGCGAAAGCUAGGGGAGCAAACGGGA